GGAAGGUGCCAUUCUUGAAAGGAGGCUAAAGUAUCUAAGGAGUUGCUCUUAUCAGAAACUUCAAAGGGUCUUGUUCAUGUAUUUUUUGCCCAGCGUACGACAUCAAAGAAGAUACAUUCAUUUGCGGCCCAAUGCCCGUUCGACUCUCACCCGGAAAAAAAAAAAAAAAAAAAAA